rnacentral:rRNA from 1 species
AGCGAACGCUGGCGGCAGGCCUAACACAUGCAAGUCGAACGAAGUCUUCGGGCUUAGUGGCGGACGGGUGAGUAACACGUGGGAACGUGCCUUUAGGUUCGGAAUAACUCAGGGAAACUUGUGCUAAUACCGAAUGUGCCCUUCGGGGGAAAGAUUUAUCGCCUUUAGAGCGGCCCGCGUCUGAUUAGCUAGUUGGUGAGGUAAAGGCUCACAAAGGAUACGAUCAGUAGCUGGUCUGAGAGGAUGACCAGCCACAUUGGGAGUGAGACACGGCCCAAACUCCUACGGGAGGCAGCAGUGGGGAAUCUUGCGCAAUGGGCGAAAGCCUGACGCAGCCAUGCCGCGUGGAUGAUGAAGGUCUUAGGAUUGUAAAAUCCUUUCACCGGUGAAGAUAAUGACUGUAGCCGGAGAAGAAGCCCCGGCUAACUUCGUGCCAGCAGCCGCAGUAACAC